rnacentral:lncRNA from 1 species
CACCGCACGACGACACCCACCUCCGCCAAAUCUCAACCACCGGCAAACCCGCGCCUGCGCCGCCCUGACAUCGGUGCCCAAUGACCGCCGGUGUCAUCCCCGAAGUCCUGCUCCACCGCCCUCGUCGCUCAAUCGCCGCCCCGGCAGAGCACUCCAUCGCUUCUUCCCCGACCUUCGCGCCGCUCCCCCUUCUCACUUCCGCGCCGCUAUAAAAUGGAAUGCCGAAGCCCCGCCGGAGUUCCCCUUUGCCAUCGCUGCCCUCUCUCUUACUCGUUGUUCGUGCUCACAGCGCCACCACCGAAGUCUGACGAACUCUCC